UCUUUUUAGAAAAAACAUAUGAUUUGGAAAAGAGACCACCAAUCCACUGGGGGGGUAUCGCAUGAAAGCAAUGGUAUUACAGAAUAUUGUAAAGCUGGAUGAGUUAUAGUGAAACAGGUUUAUGUCUGCUCAUCUGGCAAUCUUAGGACAUCACUGGAUGGUUUUGUUUAAGAAGAUUACAGAGUUAACACACACUUCCAGCAUGAAGACCAGCCAGUUGCCUCACCUGUCUUGACAUUGUUAAAGUACUUUGAGACAGUGAAAAGACAUGGCUCUAAAUUACUGCAUCAGAGAUCUAUCCAGGUUAUAAAUCUGAGGAAAACAAUAAAGCAUCAUUUGAAGCUACUUAUAUCACUGCCUUAAGGAGUUGUCUGCAUGUGUAACGAACAAAGGACAGUGACCAGUUGUACCUAUGAUAUCAGACAGGGCAUCCUUAAAAACUUCAGCCGAACUCAUCACUUAGAAUAGAAAACUUCAUAAUUUUAUAACUUUUGUAUCAAUCCUUUUGCACUUCAUCUGACUUGGAAUUUCAGUAGCCUUUACAUGUAGCAUCCUUCAAGCAUUUCAUGAAGUACCAAUUUGCAGGUGUCAAAUGUUUGUCCCAAACGAAACAACAAAAAAUAAAUUCUCUGGCAGUUAGCAUUGUCAUGAGCAGUGAUUGAUGUCACAGUUCCACCGGCAUAGUAUUUGUAGUUGAAUGGUGCCAUUUUUAAGAAAACUUUUCACAAAAACCUGGAAAACAUCAGAUGGAAAGGAGCAUCUACAAGAAAAACGGUGAACACUUUCUUGAAUAUUAACAAUGAUAUGCCAUGCCCCAUUUACAUCCUUUAUAUAAACUAAUUAACCAAA